GGCAGUGGAUGUCUGAGGAUGCCUUGGUCCUCAGUGUUGGGCUGAGAAAGGGGCUAGUGGGGCACCAUCACGGCAGGCCUAAAGCUUGGGGAGCUGGUCUCCUACACAAACUUGUGU
ensembl:miRNA Mir6339 microRNA 6339